GAAGUACUCUCUCUGUUUAGAAAUACUUGUCAUCAGAAUGGAUAAAAAGGGAUGUAUCUAGACGUAUUUUAAUUUCAGAUACAUCUCUUUUCAUCUAUUUUGGUGACAAGUAUUUUCGGACGGAGGGUGAUUUC
rfam:Triticum aestivum genome assembly, contig: Triticum_aestivum_CS42_TGACv1_scaffold_499423_6BL